AGCACUUUGCUGCCUGAAGUUGAUGCCUGAUGAAUAACAGAGAUAAAUAAGAAAAAUGAAAGGCUUAUCACCUAGGAAACACGCGGUCCUAAUCGCCCAGGUCUGGCUCUUGGAUUUACUGACGUUCCCAUCUUCCCUGGCUGUCGAGUUGAUUAACUGGGUGAUGCUGACUGGAGGGCAUGGGACGGGCCACUGAUGCACCACCUGAUUAUGUGGUCAUGGAAACCCCUGGAGGUAAGACCUCUGUUAUCAAAAUAAAUUGGGAUUUUCUGCCAACUAAUGGUUGGCGAAGCUUGCACUAAUGCUAGAUUCUGCUGGAUG